rnacentral:rRNA from 1 species
GAUGAACGCUGGCGGCGUGCCUAAUACAUGCCAGUCGAGCGAACGGACGAGAAGCUUGCUUCUCUGAUGUUAGCGGCGGACGGGUGAGUAACACGUGGAUAACCUACCUAUAAGACUGGGAUAACUUCGGGAAACCGGAGCUAAUACCGGAUGAUAUUUUGAACCGCAUGGUUCAAAAGUGAAAGACGGUCUUGCUGUCACUUAUAGAUGGAUCCGCGCUGCAUUAGCUAGUUGGUAAGGUAACGGCUUACCAAGGCAACGAUGCAUAGCCGACCUGAGAGGGUGAUCGGCCACACUGGAACUGAGACACGGUCCAGACUCCUACGGGAGGCAGCAGUAGGGAAUCUUCCGCAAUGGGCGAAAGCCUGACGGAGCAACGCCGCGUGAGUGAUGAAGGUCUUCGGAUCGUAAAACUCUGUUAUUAGGGAAGAACAGAUGUGUAAGUAACUGUGCACAUCUUGACGGUACCUAAUCAGAAAGCCACGGCUAACUACGUG